GAUGAACGCUGGCGGCGUGCCUAAUACAUGCAAGUCGAGCGAACAGGCGAGGAGCUUGCUCCUCUGACGUUAGCGGCGGACGGGUGAGUAACACGUGGAUAACCUACCUAUAAGACUGGGAUAACUUCGGGAAACCGGAGCUAAUACCGGAUAAUAUAUUGAACCGCAUGGUUCAAUAGUGAAAGACGGUUUUGCUGUCACUUAUAGAUGGAUCCGCGCCGCAUUAGCUAGUUGGUAAGGUAACGGCUUACCAAGGCAACGAUGCGUAGCCGACCUGAGAGGGUGAUCGGCCACACUGGAACUGAGACACGGUCCAGACUCCUACGGGAGGCAGCAGUAGCGAAUCUUCCGCAAUGGGCGAAAGCCUGACGGAGCAACGCCGCGUGAGUGAUGAAGGUCUUCGGAUCGUAAAACUCUGUUAUUAGGGAAGAACAAAUGUGUAAGUAACUAUGCACGUCUUGACGGUACCUAAUCAGAAAGCCACGGCUAACUACGU
rnacentral:rRNA from 1 species